GGGUAAUUUUCCGCAAUGGGCGAAAGCCUGACGGAGCAAUACCGCGUGAGGGAGGAAGGCUCUUGGGUUGUAAACCUCUUUUCUCAGGGAAGAAAAAAUGACGGUACCUGAGGAAUAAGCAUCGGCUAACUCCGUGCCAGCAGCCGCGGUAAUACGGAGGAUGCAAGCGUUAUCCGGAAUGAUUGGGCGUAAAGGGUCCGCAGGUGGCUAUGUAAGUCUGCUGUUAAAGAACCUAGCUUAACUAGGUAAAAGCAGUGGAAACUACAAGGCUAGAGUGCGUUCGGGGUAGAGGGAAUUCCUGGUGUAGCGGUGAAAUGCGUAGAUAUCAGGAAGAACACCAGUGGCGAAGGCGCUCUACUAGGCCGCAACUGACACUGAGGGACGAAAGCUAGGGGAGCGAAUGGGAUUAGAUACCCCAGUAGUCCUAGCCGUAAACGAUGGAUACUAGGCGUGGCUUGUAUCGACCCGAGCCGUGCCGGAGCUAACGCGUUAAGUAUCCC
rnacentral:rRNA from 1 species